AGAGUUUGAUUAUGGCUCAGAACGAACGCUGGCGGCGUGGAUAAGACAUGCAAGUCGAGCGAGAUUUUUUCCUGUAGCAAUACAGGGAAAAGUCUAGCGGCGAACGGGUGCUUAACACGUGGGCAAUCUGCCGAGAAGUGGGGGAUAGCUCGCCGAAAGGCGAAUUAAUACCGCAUGUGAUCAGAAUGGACAUCCAUUCAAAAUCAAAGGUGGCGCAAGCUACCGCUUCUUGAGGAGCCCGCGGCCUAUCAGCUAGUUGGUGAGGUAACGGCCCACCAAGGCUUUGACGGGUAGCUGGUCUGAGAGGACGACCAGCCACACUGGGACUGAGACACGGCCCAGACACCUACGGGUGGCAGCAGUCGAGAAUUUUUCUCAAUGGGGGAAACCCUGAAGGAGCGACGCCGCGUGGAGGAUGAAGGUCUUCGGAUUGUAAACUUCUGUCAUUGGGGAACAAGGUGUAUACGUUCACUGCGUGUGCAUUGAUAGUACCCGAAGAGGAAGAGACGGCUAACUCUGUGCCAGCAGCCGCGGUAAUACAGAGGUCUCAAGCGUUGUUCGGAUUCAUUGGGCGUAAAGGGUGCGUAGGCGGCGCGGUAAGUCGGGUGUGAAAUCUUGGAGCUUAACUCCGAAACUGCAUUCGAUACUGCCGUGCUUGAGGACUGGAGAGGAGACUGGAAUUUACGGUGUAGCGGUGAAAUGCGUAGAUAUCGUAAGGAAGACCAGUGGCGAAGGCGGGUCUCUGGACAGUUCCUGACGCUG
rnacentral:rRNA from 1 species